AAUGAACGUUGGCGGCGUGGAUUAGGCAUGCAAGUCGAACGAGAUCUGUAGCAAUACAGUGAAAGUGGCGAAAGGGAGAGUAAUACGUAGGUACCUGCCCUCGGGUCUGGGAUAGCUGCGGGAAACUGCAAUUAAUACCGGAUGACGUCUCUGGACCAAAGGUGUGAUUCCGCCAGCGGAUGGGCCUGCGUCCUAUCAGCUAGUUGGUGUGGUAAUGGCGCACCAAGGCUAAGACGGGUACGGGGUGUGAGAGCAUGCCCCCGCUCACUGGGACUGAGAUACUGCCCAGACACCUACGGGUGGCUGCAGUCGAGAAUCUUCCGCAAUGGGCGCAAGCCUGACGGAGCGACGCCGCGUGUGGGAUGAAGGCCUUCGGGUUGUAAACCACUGUCAGUGGGGAGCAAAUGCAUCAGGGUUCUCCCUGGUGUUUGAGCGAUCCGCAGAGGAAGCACAGGCUAAUUCCGUGCCAGCCGCCGCGGUAAAAC
rnacentral:rRNA from 1 species